CGAAAUCAGCAAAGGGGAAGCCAUAUUUAGGGUUUUUAAGCUUUCAAGCUCCAUAAUCAAGAAAGACGUGAAGAGUAUAUCAAACGGGGAAAAGAAAAGAUAGUGGAGUAAAGUGCAAAAUUACGAUAUUUUGCACCGAGUGACUUCCAACAACUCGGAAAUUGGAACGAAGUCAGACAAUCAUCUACACUAUCCUUCACAUUUGGGGUAUUUUACUACUAGUGUUCCGAAAUUUUAUGGCAUGUAUAAACGACUUAUGUAAUGUGGGAUCAUCAUGUAAAUAUAUGUUAUGGUUCCCUUUUAAAUGUAGCGUUUAUUAAUACUUAAA